UCGUUAGUAUAGGAAGGAAAUGCAGAUGCUGGUUUAUACCAAAGAUAGACACAAAGUGCUGGAGUAUCUCAGCGGGUCAGGCAGCAUCUUUGGAGAAAAAGGAAGGGUGAUUUUUUGGGUCGGAACCCUUCCUCAGACUGAAAAUAGGGGGGGGUGGGAAUUAGAGGUAGGAAAAGGCCAGAACAAAUCAGGUCCUGAUGUUCAACUAUAACAAUCUCUGCAAUGUUAUUGAGUAAUAUUCACUCCCUGAUGGUAGCGGGUAACUUAUUUUUGUUUCAUUAUUAGAGUCUAACCUUGGUGUUGAGAGGAAGCAGGAAAUAACAUCCUUAAUGUCUCUAAUCAAUUCAUUGAAAAAGCAUAACAGCAACACAGUUUAUUCCCAAUAUUAUCCCCGUCAAUGGGAGGUUCCUUGAGUGUAUUCUGUGUGGGCCCCAUAGUGACACUCAUCAGCAAGACCAUAGAUAAUGCAACCACAAACAGGAAAAGAAUUAGUGGUGGAUAUCUGGCUUAAUACAUUUGACAAGACCACACACAGCUCAAAAUUACUCUAUAGAUUCCUUUGAAAAGCCAGUGCUGUAGGUCUGAAUGAAGGUAAGUAAACAAUGAAAAUGUUGGAUAUGUCAGGCAGUACCAAAGUGGUAUGGGAAGUAGACUGUUCAAGUGUAGACCCUUCCUUCGUUUUCAAGCCUCCUGUAUUUACUGGUGUUAAAGAGUUAAUACUGUGUGGAUUCUUUUGUUACAUCCUCUGCCAACGAGAACAGUUUCUGCAAAGUCUCAAAUGUUAGAGUGUAUCCAAGCUAACCUCCACCAACACCAAGCGAUAUGCGUUGUCAUUUCCCUUAUAUCAACAUGAUUCCAUUGUAUGAAGUCACUUGUAUUUGUGUAUUAUAUUUUAAUUACAACCUACAUUUUCCUUUCCAGUCUAUCAUUACUUUCAGGAUGUAACUGGAGAGAGCGUGUUUUGAAAACAUUCUGCUAUUAUCACAUACUUCCAGUACAAGAAAUGAAGUCAUUUAUGAUUUCCUAAUUGUACUCAAUGACUUUCAUUGGGCCUAGAGAAAUGGAUACAUUUUUUAUUUCCCUUGCAGCCCCCAUCAAAUGUAAUGGGACAGUUCUACCCGUUCUGUAACCCCACGCGUCCCAAAUCUUCUACCAACCACCUAGAAGUUGGAAUUUACAGACCUAUUAACCCACCGACCCGCACAGCUUAGGAUGUGGGUGGAAACUCGAGCAACUGGAGGAAGCCCAAAUAGUCACAGAAAGAAGGUGCAAACUCGACACAGAUAGCUCCAGAGAGAUGCUGCCUGACCCACUGAGUCACUCCAGCAUUUUGUGUCUAUCUUUGGUGUGAACCAGCAUCUGCAGUUCCAUCCUACACAAUCAGUAAGUUGUUUUCAUUUUCAAGAUCUUUGAUUUAGAUGUGUAUUAGUGAGAGAGUGAAGGAGUUAGCAUCUGUGACGAGAGGAAAAGGGUUCUGAGAUUUAAUUCAGAUACUCGGGCAGACUACAUGCUGUGGAUCACAUAAACAUUUGUAACGUAUUCACAUCAACCAUAUAACUUACCGGCCAGGUGCAACAUUGGCCUCAUCCCCCGGAACAACCCAACCCUCGUUUCAAUGGAAGUUCAUGAUCCGUCUGUGUUGGGACUGUGAAAUUAACAGUGAAAAUCACUCAUGCCUGGCAGUAAAUAUCAAUUCUUAUAUACAGACAUUCCUUCAACCGUUCUAGUGGAGGAAGUAGUUCACAGUGGACUGGUUUGUGCCUGAGUCUGAUGUACUUUAUUGAUUCUAUGUAAUUCGAUUGGGAGGAAACAUACAGAGUAUUGCACAUGAUAUGAGGCAGUUGGUAUAAUUGGUAUAAUAUUGCAUACACUCACAUAAAUACAAAGGAAAUAUCACAUCCGUGUCCCUACACCUGUUCUCAACACUCAGGGCAACAGUUUAGUUUAGUUUGGAGAUACAGCGGGGAAACAGGCCCAUCGGCUCACUGAGUCCGUGCCGACCUGCGAUCGUAUAGGCCAGCACUAUCCUACACACUAGGGACAAUUUUUAUGAGGCCAAUUAACCUACAUCUUCUCAGUGUGGGGGGAAACUGGAGCACUGGGGCGGGGUAAAACCCACGUGGGUACAAGCUCCGUACGGACAACAAUCAUAGUCAGGAGUCAGGACCAAUCCAGGUCUCUGGCGUCGUAAGGCAGUAACUCUACGCUGCACCACCGUGCCACCCCUGUUCACUGUUGGUACCAUUGAAUGCAUUUGCUUCACAUCCGAUUGAACAGUAUUUUGCUGUUGAAAAUAGUAACCGAAUGAUAUUUAUUAAUAUUUUCUCUGUUUGCCUGAGUGUGGAGUGAGAAAGAGCACCAAUUCCUCACUUCCACAGUAGGAGUGCAGGUCACCACCAGCCAUAGUGUACCCGCCUGCUCUAGUCAACAUACAUAAUGUCAUAUGGUCAUGGAGACAUUGUAGAGAACAACAGCACCAAAACUGACUCUUCAGCCCCACAAAUCCAUGCUCACCAUCACCACACUUUUCCAUUAAUCCUUCAAUAAUACCAUUUUAUAGUCACAGCAUGGAAACAGGCUCUUCAGCCCAUCGAGUCCGCACCGACCAGCGAUCUCUGCUCAUCAACACUAUCCUACAAACACUUACGGACAUUUUACGUUGAUACCGAGCCAA